CUUUCGCAACGUACGUCUCCAAUAAGUGCUGCUAUAGUUCUGCCCCCGUCAGAGAGGGAGUCAUAACCAAUAUGGAGUCCUUUAAUACCUACAGGUAUCGUUUGGAGACGUUCAUGGAGUCCAGAUCUACUGAAUGGAGUCAGGAGCCUUACACAGGUCAGCCUGUGGAUGCUGGUGUUCAACCUGCUCCAGGUCCGUGGCAGAUUGCAGCUCAACCUCCGGCCUUCUUUCAAGAGCACAAGCAGACCAUUAAAGUGCCCUAUACUUCCUCAGUCAAGGUUUGACUUUUAACCACA